rnacentral:hammerhead_ribozyme from 1 species
AUCCAGCUGACAAGUCCCAACAUAGGACGAAACGCUCGUCCUGAAC